GUAUUUUGUCCUCGCGAUGGUUCCCGACUGUAUUCUGCGGUCAGGGAUAAAAGGGAAUACGGUGCGGUUCUGUAAAAAGGCCAAUUCCGUGACUGCCCCCGCAACUGUAGGCGGCGAGCGACCCGAGAUCGUCCACUGGGCAAUAGCCUGGGAAGGAUCGGGAUAGCUUUGACCCGCAAGUCAGGAGACCUGCCAUCCGAAAUUUAUGAAC
rnacentral:ncRNA from 1 species